rnacentral:rRNA from 1 species
GAUCCUGGCUCAGGAUGAACGCUAGCGACAGGCUUAACACAUGCAAGUAGAGGGGCAUCAUGAGGUAGCAAUACCUUGAUGGCGACCGGCGCACGGGUGAGUAACGCGUAUGCAACCUGCCCGAUACCGGGGUAUAGCCCAUGGAAACGUGGAUUAACACCCCAUAGUACUUUUAUCCUGCCUGGAUGUGAGUAAUAGUUCAGUAGUCGGAGUGGGCGGAUGUCGUCCUUACUUAGUUUAGG